GUUGUUUAAUCUGCAACUUGUCUCUCCUGCUACUGGUUCUCUCUUCCUCUCAUUGUCUCUCCUUCUGUAGUCUCAAUUUUGAAAUUUUAAGUUUUAAAUAAUUUUGAAUGAAUUUUGCCAACCUACAUUCUAGCUAUGCAGUUUCAGAAUCUCUUUUGUAUCAUGCCUCGGGUCAAUCCACCAUAUCUGUCACCAAGGUCCACUCGAGAGCACUGUUAGAUAAGGGGGAGCUAACUCGUAUGUGCUGGAACCAAGGGACAGGGGGUCAGUCUAUCGCUAGACUUAAUGUUCUGAUAGGCAUAGCUAAAACGCAAGGAAGGUUUUCAUAAUUUAAUUACGAUAACAAUUUAAAUGAAUGAUAACAAAUCAAUCAGUAAACAAUUCCAAAUAAUAAUAAUCUAAUUAAAGUACAAAGUAUCAAUUCAAAUCCAAAGUAAAACUAUAUCUCUUUAAAAUGUAAAAUAUAAAAUAAAUGCCAAAAUUACUAAAUCAUAAAAUGUACUUAAUCUCAAUUUCAGAAUGUAAAAGUCUCAAAAUAAAAGUUUCUCAAAAGUAUAAUUUUCUAAAGUUAAAUUAUGAGUCAGAGAUAAAUUUUGUCUCACACUACACAGUCAACUGGUAGACUGGUAGACAGUCUUAUAGGGCCAGUAUAAUGACAUGAGUAGUGUGAGGUUACGCUUCCGAAACACUGACUGUUAUCUUAAAAAUUCCCAAAAAUAAAAGGUGAGUCAAAAAUACAUUUUUGUCUAAACACUACAAAGUCAACUAGUAGACUGAUCGACAGUCUUACAGAUCCAGUAUAAUAGACUUUAGUAGUGAAAGGUUAGGUUUCCGAAAGGUGACUGCUUUUUCCAAAAUUUCACAAUGAUAUUUAUACUAAAACACAAAAUAACUCAACAUGACACGACAUGUUAAUAUUACUCUCAUUAGUAAAAAAGAGACAUUAAUAACAAAGCCUAAUCCUAGUGACAUAUGCUAAUUACAAUUAAUAUUUCAAAAUAAAGUGCUUUGAGCAAACUGUGACAUUUCGAGUACUAAUGCCACAGCAUAGGUAAAAUUAAUUAAACAAAUUAAUUAAAAUUAUUACAAAAUACAAACAUAAAAUUUUCUUUCUUAAAAUAAAACAUAAUUUUUUAUCCAAAAUAACACUAACUCAAUUUAAGCCAAAUAACAUACCAUGACAUAUUCCCCCCUACUCUUAUAUGUUUGUCCCCAAACAUGAUAUAUACAUUUACAUAGUAACACCCUAAAAUAUCUUCAAUACACUCUUUAUAAACUAUAUUUAUAACCUGGCGCCAAAAAUAUAUACAUAUAUCAACAACAAUUUAUUUCACUUGCUAGCUUCCAGCAACCUUUAUUCCUUGUAUAAGGAAAUUUUAACAGAUGAAUAAUAAAACAACAUUUCAGUAAUCCAAAAUUCAAAUUGAUGUAGUGAAAAGAACCAACAGGCGUGCACUCCUACUAAGUUCCUAGAACCACAAAAAAAGAAGAUAGAAACCGAAAGUUUUUUCUAUGUACUGCUGUCUUGGAAGGUUGCUAUGGUAACAUGAUAAGCACCAUCAUGAUAUUCACUGAUGUCUCUAAAAUGUUUCUGUUCUUGAAGUCUAAGUUUUCGCUUUCGUUUGUUGUUUCACAAAAAGUUUAAUCCUAUAAAUAAAGCUCUAGCAAGUAAUGUUCAAAAUUAUGAAUUUCUGGUAAGAUGUCCAAAGAAAGUUGAAGCACUAUAUUUCCGAUUAUUGCAUACACACAUCCACGGACACUUAUUGCAUCCUUGAUCGUUGAUUCUGUGUAUUGCUGUAGUGGUGUUUAGAUGAUGAAACUGACUUCUACCUAUACAGCUCAAGAUGCUCUCCUGUCAAACAAACAGUUCACUUUGUGAUUCUCUAGUCCAAUUUACCAAAGUUCCUCUCCAUGGUUGUAGUAAACUGGAAACUUGCUGUUCCUGUAUUACACUGGAUAGCCUGGCACAUCUGUCUUUUUGGCAGCACCAUCCUUUUGAGAUUCUCUUUCUCUACCCAUGAUGAUAUUUCUAUUCCAAUUACCAAACUGAAACUAAAAGUAUUUUUGUCAGUAUAUUGUUUAUGUUCUAUUUUCUCUCUACUUAAGUGUAUGAGUCUCAUCAGAUUCGUAUUAAAAUUAUUUGCACAAGUAAAAGUCUCUCCUGAACUAAAUGUUAACUUCUGUAAAGUUUUGCACAAACAAAUAUUAUUUAAAGUUAACAGAUUCACACCAAGAAUCAACAUACAUCUAUACUUUUCACUUAAAAAUAUUAAAGUGUAAUAUAAUAAGCAAGAUGUACUUAUCUUUUAGUUAUGUGUUGUUUAAUCUGCAACUUGUCUCUCCUGCUACUGGUUCUCUCUUCCUCUCAUUGUCUCUCCUUCUGUAGUCUCAAUUUUGAAAUUUAAGUUUUAAAUAAUUUUGAAUGAAUUUUGCCAACCUACAUUCUAGCUAUGCAGUUUCAGAAUCUCUUUUGUAUCAUGCCUCGGGUCAAUCCACCAUAUCUGUCACCAAGGUCCACUCGAGAGCACUGUUAGAUAAGGGGGAGCUAACUCGUAUGUGCUGGAACCAAGGGACAGGGGGUCAGUCUAUCGCUAGACUUAAUGUUCUGAUAGGCAUAGCUAAAACGCAAGGAAGGUUUUCAUAAUUUAAUUACUGUAACAAUUUAAACAAAUGAUGAUAACAAAUCAAUUAGUAAACAAUUCCAAAUAAUAAUAAUAAUCUAAUUAAAGUACAAAGUAUCAAAUCUAAAUAUCAUCCAAAGUAAAACUAUUUCUCCUUAAAAUGUAAAAUAUAAAAUAAAUGCCAAAAUUACUAAAACAUAAAAUGUACUUAAUCUCAAUUUCAAAAUAUAAAAGUCUCAAAAUAAAAGUUUCUCAAAAGUAUUUUCUAAAGUUAAAUUAUGAGUCAGAGAUAAAUUUUGUCUCACACUACACAGUCAACUGGUAGACUGGUAGACAGUCUUAUAGGGCCAGUAUAAUGACAUGAGUAGUGUGAGGUUACGCUUCCGAAACACUGACUGUUAUCUUAAAAAUUCUCAAAAAUACAAGGCGAGUCAAAAAAAUACAUUUUUGUCUAAACACUACAAAGUCAACUAGUAGACUGAUCGACAGUCUUACAGAUCCAGUAUAAUAGACUUUAGUAGUGAAAGUUAGGUUUCCGAAAGGUGACUGAUUUUCCUAAAUUUCACAACGCUAUUUAUAUUAAAACCAAAUAUAAAUCAAUAUGACUCGACAUGUAAAUAU
rnacentral:lncRNA from 1 species